rnacentral:lncRNA from 1 species
GUAAUGGGAAAGAAAGAAUUAGGCCAUGGUGUUAGAAAUAAAACAGGUGAGUUGAAACUAAAAAGCAGCAUAAGAUAUCUCGGAGAGAAAUUAACUCUCUGAUCCUAUUUCAACUUUCCAAGAUUUCCCAACCUCACAUGACCCUCGGAGUGAAAAAGCUUCUAGUUGUUAAAACGGCUUUAGUACUAUGGAAAGGAAAAAUUGGCUUCCAUUAGAAUUAUAACUAAGUGAUUGUUAGGGCUUCGAAAAUAAUAUUGCGUUGAAUUAAUUGAAUACAUUAUGGUAACGUAACUCUUCUCUUUCACACAAAUAAGCAACAACUUUCAAGGAAAA